CUCUGUGCGAUCACACCUCAAGAUCCAAUCGCCCCAUACUAGAAAAAAAAGAUCCAAUCGCCCCACAUAACUCACCCGCACGUCGCAUCCCCGCAAUCGCCGGCGCCCGCACUGCCACCGUCCCCGGUGCCCGCAACGCCUACCUUCACCAGCCGGCGACCGCAACAGCUCCCUGCUGUUUUCCCCAGGCGACAGCCCACCAAUGCCUCUAACCCCCACACACGCCGGCAACCCGCGCCCCACAAGGUCCUCGGCGACCCACAGGCCACAGCCACCUUCCUCGCACGUCCCUGCCCCUAUCUCCGGCCCUGCCGCUCAUCUUCUGACGGACGCGAGAGCAGGCUGCAGUCCCUGCCGCUCCUCCUCUACUUCCACGAAUCCAUGAAUACUCCUCACCUGUCGCAAGCCAAUCCUCCUCUGGUUGCCAUGGCGGUGGGGGUGAGGGGUGUGUGCGAUAGCGGGAGUUGAGGGAGGAGGAGGUAGAUGUGGUGCGGUGGAGAGAGACCUCCGGCAGAAGUGUGGGAGGAGGCGGCCGUCCGGUGUGGAGUACCACCAUGUUGAUUGUUGAGUACGAGCAGAGCUUGUUCAGAUUGGCAAGAUAGACUCUAGGAUUAUGUGAAUCUCAAGCUUAAUCUGCUGCUUUCAUUGACAAUCGGUCAAUUCUUCUCUCCCUCCUGAAAUCCAUCUUGCGAGUCUGUAUGCUGACUUUGUGGUAUUGUUUAUUUCUUAACUACAGUUUGUGCCUUUGUGGCGUGGUGAUCUAGAGCUAUUUCGAAGAGCUAAUGGACAAGGAUGCUAGAGAGAGACUUGAUGCAGCAAGAGAGACGUCUUUGUGGCUGAACUUGCUUUAGAUGCUGAGAAGAAUGCAAACACAAGGGGAUUUGAGCUGGAGUGAUCAAUGCAUUGUUUGCCAGGACAGUACAGACGAGGAAACAUUAGAGCAAUCACUCUCGCCGGCGUCACGAGAUCUUCCACAAGCUGCUGUUCAGACCUCUGCCUACCACAACGCUCAUACAUACCUUUAUGAUCGAUACUUCGGCGUAAGUUUUCUAUGGCAGGGGCAAAGGGAAAUAUUUCUACGGUGAUGUAACUUUUGAAUGAAAUUCCAUCGAUGGAAAAAGUAAUAAAUGGAAUGAUUUGCUGACCAUGUACAUUUUGAUAAUUUUGUUUGAUCC